rnacentral:snoRNA from 1 species
CCCCUCCAGUUUCCUUAACCAUCGGAUCAAAACAGGGGUGUGAGUGGUUAUAAAAGCAGGAAGAGUGAAAUUGAAGCUGAUUUCACUGUUUUGUGGCACACAUGCUAGUCUCUAAAAACA